AUGGCUCAGAUGGGAACCGGGGCGGCAAGGAGCCUGUCAGCGGACAAUUAACUGAUCCAGGGAGAGCUGAGGAGCCUGCAUUUGGGAACACAACGAGGAAGCAGUGCUGGAGGAGGGAGGGCGAGGCAUGUUCAAACGUGUGAUCUCACGUUCGGCUGAAUUUGUGGGAAUCCCGAGAGAGACUAAGAUUGUAGACAUACCUUCAGGAAACAGCGUUUCGUUCUGCCUGUAACCGUAGACAAAGCAAAGCCGGAAGUUCAUCCAUAAACACCUCCUACGACCCUGACUGAUACCCUGUGGAUAUGGCAAUGUGCAGAGGUUUAAUUAUGAAGACAGAGUCUGCAAGCUACGUGCUGAAAUCAAUAUCAUUAUGUCUAGUCCCGCCUCAUUGAAUUCUGUGAACUA